GCUGCCUCCGCCUCCUUGUUCCGGGCGGGCCAGGAGAGGCUCAAGAUGGCGGCGCCCUUAGCGGAGGAGCUGGAGCGGCUGCUCAACCCGCUGCCCCGCGCCUUGCACGACCCCGAGGACGACCCCGAGGACGCCACCGCAGCCAGGGUGGUUGACAAGUUUGAUGAAGGUGAUGAAGAUGAUGUCCUUGCGCUUGGGCACAUACGAAAGGGGGUCUCCUCCCACCUUUUGGAUGCUGAUAAGAGAUACCGUGGGAAGGCCGUAUCCCGCAAAGCUUUGGAGGAAGAGAUGUGGGGAGACGAUCAACUGUCAGAUGAGCAGACUUCAAACGAGGAAGAGGAAACGGAUGAGGAGGAUGAGGACCAGGAUGAGGAAGAUGCUACCUGCAGCGUUGCCAGCAGCCAGGAGGAGGAAGAAGAAAAUAAACAGCUGGGGAAACUGAAGGAAGAUGCUUUCGUUUUCCAGGCUGUGGACGACUUUGCGAAAUUUGCAGAGGGGCUGGACGAAAUGGGCAGUGCGAUGGAAAUGUUGGAGGAAGGUGAGGAAGACGACAGUGUCGAAGAAGGCAGCGGAGAUGAGGAAGACAGCAUGGAAGAAGGCAGCGAAGGUGGAGCGACGUCGGAGGAAAGCGCCGCGGGGAGCAAGGAGGAGGAGGAGAUGGUGGCGGAUGCGAGGGAGAGUAAACAUCUUGGGGGGAUGUUGCCGUUCUCUAAAGACCGAGUGGCCGAAGAAGUUGCUAAAGGAAAAGCCGUGAAGAAUCAAAUAGCUCUGUGGGAUCAGCUCUUGGAAGGGCGAAUUAAACUGCAGAAGGUUCUCCUGACAGCCAACCAGCUUCCCCAGCCAGAUACCUUCCUGGAGUUUAAGAAAAGAGGAGGACAGGAGUUUGCCGCUGCACUCAAGAACAAUCACAAAGCCCUCAAGGCUUUGCUGAGGACCCUGGUGGAUCUCCAGGAUGAGCUUUUGCACCAGUAUUCGGGCACGAGACAUCUGGUAGAUGGAGAGCAGGGAAAAGAGGAGAGCAACGAAGAGAUCCCAAGCGGCGAUGACGACGAUGACCAAGCUGAGAGGGAAGACAAGGAGAGGAAGAGGCCACGCAAGCGUAAGCUGGGAAUGGACGAUUACCCAGAGUUCGCGGCCAAGCGGUUUGCCGACUUCCGGUCCUAUCGGAACAGCACGCUGCAGAAGUGGCAUGAUAGGACCAAGCUGGCUUCUGGGAAGCUGGGGAAGGGUUUUGGUGCCUUUGAGCGUUCCAUCCUGACCCAGAUCGAUCACAUCUUGAUGGACCGAGAGAGGUUGCUCCGGCGGACGAGGACCAAGCGGUCAGCCUACAGGGUACUGGGGAAGCUGCAGCCAGCCCCUGAGCCGUUGCCAGCGACUUUGCCAGGACAGGCGGAGGCCCUUCCGCCAACAGCAUCCAACGCGCACCUCAAAGACCUGGACGAGGAGAUCUUUGACGACGACGACUUCUACCAUCAGCUCCUCAGGGAACUUAUUGAACGUAAAACCAGCUCCUUGGACCCCAACGACCAGGUGGCAAUGGGCAGGCAAUGGCUGGCUAUCCAGAAACUGCGGAGCAAAAUCCGGAAGAAAGUGGACAAAAAGGCCAGCAAAGGAAGGAAAAUUCGGUAUCACGUCCACAGCAAGCUGGUCAGUUUCAUGGCCCCCAUUGACCAUUCCACGAUGACUGAUGAUGCCAGACAUUUGAUAAGUUGCAUUGCCUGCCUUGUAGCUUUGGACAGGCCUGUGUGAAAGUGAUGCUCUGACAAGAUUCAGAAAAGGCAAGAAGGUACGAAGGUGUCCACUCUCCCACUUGUUGUUUAGAAAGGGGCCUUUGCUUCUCCCUUAGCAAUUUUUGUGAGGUGACAAGUUUGUUUUUGGAAGCCGAGCGGAACCUGGGACAGGCAUAUGGACUAGAAACUUUGCUAGUUUUUGUUUGUUUUUUAAUGUGAAGAAAGGUGGCAUAUUGACAGAGCUGGAUUUUGCUCCUACAGAGAUACCCUGGGCCCCAGAUGGUAACCCUAAAUUUAAAAUAAAAUAAAAUUGUGUGCGCUUGUUUCAAGAAGCUGCUUUCAGGAAAUGAAAUGACAGUGUGAAUUCUAUCUUAACGUGGGUUCUCCAAGUGGCGGAACGAGGACAGUUAUCCCCAUCAGAAAAUCGAAGAUUUUUUCCCACCCCGCCCCCUCUAGGGUGCAGAAAGUAUCUGUGUCAAGGUGAGUAUUGACUUUUGUCUUAGAAAAUGUAUGUAGCAUGGAUGAAUAAAUCUUUAUGUGCAUUUGCAGCAAAGCCAGAGCUGUAGAUCUUAGAGAAGGACAUUGAUUUUUGCCCCCUCCCCCCCCUCCACUACCUCCCAUUUUCUCCCAGCUUUCUGAAGAGUCAAAAUUUGCCUGGCAUAAACUUCUUUUAAAACAACAACAACAAUUCUGUGGACCCUUUCCGAGUUUGUCAUAUUUCUAUUCUUGGAUUUAGUUGCAUGCGCCCCCCCCCAACCCUGGGGAAAGUUUUGGAGAGUCAUGGUCUAUCCUUUUGCUAAAACUAUAAGUGGUAAAGCUAAGAACUGGGGUGUGAAAUUAGGUUGCAGCCAGCUGUUUUGGGGUUGGACGUGAGACUUUAGAUGGGUACUGUUGGACGAGGAGAAGAGAGAAGCACAUGAUGCAAAAUGGUGUUGAGUAAUGGCAGGAGAGCACCAAAGAUCAGUUGUUGAGCACUUUGUUUGUGUGCAGAAGGUCUCAGGUUCCAGCUCCAGGUAAGACUGGGAAUUGUCCCCAUCUAAAAUCUUCUGCCACUCAGUGUAGACAGCACCUGAGAAAGGUAGACAAGCUUUCUGAAUAUGGGUAGUUUUUAAUGUUUGAUGUUUUACUGUGCUUAAUGUUUUUAAUUUGUUGGAAGCUGCCCAGAGUGGCUGGGGCAACCCAACUAGGUGGGAGGCAUAUCAACAAUAUCAUCCUGUCUCCCUGGGUUUUAGGAAAUAACAACAGCUUCCUAGAACCCAGGGAGACAUGUCAGUCUUCAUUUCCCAAAGUUCCAGUAGCUGGGGCCGAUGAAUGGUUUUAUUUAUCGAAUUUAAUUCGAGACACAUUUCCUCCUUAACUCUUCCUAUUGUUUACAAAACACCUGGUUUUUAAGACCACCUCUUUUAAUACUGUCUCCCAGCCUCGCAUCUUUUCUUCUGCCAAGUCAGGCAGACCUCAGGAGUAGGACCAUGUUUUCAAGUGAAGGCUUUUGGAAUCUCUUCCCUGUGCCAUCUUGCAAACAGUGAAGGGCAGCAUUUAAAUUGAAUAAAUAAACAAACAAAAUAAUUCCCAAGCCUCUUGAUUGCAACGUGGACUGUGUCACACCCAUAUUCCUCUCUUUUCUUUUGUAAUAACUGAACUCAGCUGGGAAGUCUGUGGGCUGCAAGAUGAUGCCAGGCUAGAACUCCAGUCAUCCUUGACCCCCAACUGGGACUGCUGGAAGCCCAGCCCAAUGACAUCUCCGACAUAACAGACUUUAGGCAAGCAGCCGCCUGCCAGCCUCAGUCCCUCAGCCUGCAGCAUGGGCGUUCUUGAGAGGAUUACAGAAAGAAUCCUUGUUUUGUGCUUGGAGCCCUCUCUCCCAGAAAUUGCUGCACUCUGAAAACACGGAAGCUGCGUCAAGGAAUUCACAACGCAACGCAAUCUGAUGGUUGGAAUUUUUUUUAUUAAAAGAAACUUGAGGGUAUGCAAGCUUCUUUAACUGAAAGCAGUGGGACUUGAGGUUGUGGUAGCCAGCUCUUCCUUUCAAUGGGACUCACUCUGAAGUAAGUUUCAGAUUACUUGCUAUUUUAAUAGCUUUUAAAAAAUUGUUUUAAUGCUUUGGUGAUUGCCCCCCUCUGCUCUUUUGGGAAGAAGGGCAGGAUAGGAUUUUUGUGGAGGGAAAUAUAUUGAAUUCAAUGAGGCUUACUCGUAGGUAAGUGGGGUUGCAGACCUUUUUUGGAUUGGAGCUGGCUUCCCCCAGAUCCAGGCAUCUGCCCAAAGAUAGCAUGCCACAGGGCUUCCAAGAGAACCCAUAUCUAGCAUGUCCCCACCUUACAAAAUUUGAUCCCUACCCGCUUUUGCAAUUGGCUGGAACACGCGUAUUAAUUUAAUUCCUUGUAAUGAGGGGGAAAGAACACAGCAUUUCUUAAAACUGAUUUUGCACAAAGUAUUAUUUUAUUGCAUGGUGGUGGGGUGACUCAUUUAAAGCUGUGUUUCUCCUUCAUGAAACGCCCCCCCCUCCCAAGUUGGUGAACUGGUGCAAUAAUGGCUGUCAUCCUAUCUGGAAGUGUCAUCAAAGGCUCAACACCUGGAUCCACCAGCCUGUGAGUAGCAUCUCCUCUUACAUUGGUGUAGCAUUGCGGGUCACUUGCGUCUUACACAAGGAUUGGCUUCCAAGGGUCCAUCUGUAUAUGCAGAAACGCAGAAAGCCAGGAACUGCCCCUCCCCAUAAAGUGGAGGGGUGCUUACCUGGUUUUUGGGAAGGGGGUGUGAGGGCUCUGCCAGGGUCCCAGAAUCUUCCCACCGCCUUCCCAAAGCCUAAGAAGUGCUUGCCCAGCUUUGGGAAGGAGUGUGAGGGCUCUAGGACCUUGCCAGAGCCCCCCAACUGCCUUCCCGAAAGCCAGGUACGCUCAUGAUCGUAGGGGGGAGGGAUAAAUGGAGAGUGGUUUCCUUCACUCUCCAUGCUUUUAUUUUAUUUCCUCCUCACCCACACAAGAUUUGAGGUGUAUGUGUGUGUAGGCCCUUUGUUAGCCAUCAGACAUCCUGCUUUGGGACUUCCUAUUGGGACGUCUCAUUGGCCACUGUAAGAACAGGAUGCUGGCUCAGAUGAGCCACUGGACUGAUCCAGCAGAGGCUGGUGGCUGUAGGGAAGGCAAGCCUGACCGAGCGUAGCAUAUGUAUUCUGCUCCAUCCCCCUGCUGCCAAUGGGCAACCUGACCCUCCAAAAAAGCAAGGCCACAGGUGUGCAGGUGAAUUCCUGCUAUUGCGCUAGCGUAGCUCCCUGAAUUGGUGCCUUGGCGAAAGUGCUGCUCAGCCGGCAGUGCUUAGAUGCAGGCCAGUUACCACCCCCGCAAGGCUGCAUUUUUUCCUACCUCCCCCCUGUCUUAAGAGACAACACAAAAGGGUGUCCUGUACCCAAUGGGGCAGGAGAUGCUCAGCUUUACCUUUCUGCUCCACCUGUUCAAGGUUAGGUCCUCUGGCGCAAGCCAGCCGGUCCACCACCCACCAAGGCCGCAAGUGUUGAUUUACAGAAGCAAGUGCCACUUCUAGCUUACAAAUUGACAGCACUGCCAGCAAAGUAUGUAAGGAAUUGAAGGCAAGGAUAGGCACCUGUGGGGUUUACUGUACAGGAACAACUUCAAGUCCAUGCCCCCUACUUUCAGGGGUGGCCAACACAGUGCCCUCCCACAUUGCUGAACUAUACCUUCCACCACACCCAAGAACGAUGUCUGAGGCUGAUGUGGAGGUGGAGGCCAGGGACAUCUGAACAGCACCAUGUUGACUGCUCCUGACUGAAUGGCAAGACGCUGUGCUCCAUGAAAGCUUCAUGGUAGAGCCAGGCUGUAAGGAAAGUUAGGCUCAAUUCAGGUAGCACAGCCACGUGAUGCAGGGACUGAUGGGAGAUGUCGUCAGAAUCAUAUUGAGGGCACCAGCUUGGGGAAGUCUGUGCUACACUUUAUGGACAAGGGAUAUAUAGCUGGGGUGGCCCUUGUUCGUUCUGCUGCAAAAGGCAGAAUGAUUUCAGAUGGGAUCAUGCCCCAGUCACCUUGCAAAAUAACUUUCAUAUGAAACAGAAAUGCCCUCAGAUUUCUCUAAGUCCAAUAUAAUGAAGGGAAACCUCUCCCAUCAAAGGCUGGAGCCUCUUAUAAACACUGUUUUCUGACUAUUUUAGCAUUGCAGAGCUUUUUAUCCACCCUGCAGACUGGCUUUCCUAGGUUUAUUGCAUGAACGCAGAAAUGAAACAUCUGAUGGCCAAUCAAUCGUGCACAGAGAGAACUAAUAAUAUGACCUAAAAAAAGGGCGAUGAUUUAAACUUUGUGCAUGAAGUGGGGAUGACCUCGCCACCAGCAGGGAGAGAGAGACGAUAGGAGUCUAAACCAGUUUAGAACAGGUGCUGUGGGCCUCCCUUUUAGGGGUGGCGCUACCACCCCGCUGCCAAAUACGGCUGACAAACACGGGAUCUUUUGCAUUUGGAAGGUUGGGAAAAGUCAAGUAACCGACACAAUGGACAAAAAGUGUACACGAGAUGAAAAGCUUGGGGUGGGGGUGGGGUUCUGCUGAAGGCCCCUGUGGUCACACCCCGGCCCCACCCUUGAUUUAAGACCUCAUGGUACCAGGGUACCUUUCAUGAUCUCAUUGGAAGUCACAACAGUGACUGAGGUGCAAGUCCAGUUUACACUUUGUUAAAUAAAUAGGGACUACGG